rnacentral:rRNA from 1 species
CGGUGGAUGCCUUGGCAGUUGGAGGCGAUGAAGGACGUACUAACUUGCGAUAAGCUAAGUCAAGCCAGUAAGAGGCACUUGAGACUUAGAUUUCCGAAUGGGGAAACCCACCGCAUAGCGGUAUCUUGCAGUGAAUACAUAGCUGUAAGAGGCAAACCGGGAGAACUGAAACAUCUAAGUACCCCGAGGAAAAGAAAUCAACCGAGAUUCCGAAAGUAGCGGCGAGCGAAAUCGGAUUAGCC